rnacentral:rRNA from 1 species
CGCCCAAUAGCUAGUCUACAUUAAAAAAACAAUAUAACAUUAUAAAUAACCCCAAACACACUACACCAGAUAAAUCAAACCAUUUUACCUCCCAAGUACGGGCGACAGAAAAGGAUUUAAGAACAAUAGAGAAAGUACCGCAAGGGAAUGCUGAAAAAGAAAUGAAAUAAAUCAGCUAAGCCUCAAAAAGCAGAGACUAAAUCUCGUACCUUUUGCAUCAUGAUUUAGCCAGAAAAGUCCAAGCAAAGAGCACUUCAGUUUGUUACCCCGAAACUAAGUGAGCUACUCCAAGACAGCCCAUUAAGGGGCUAACCCGUCUCUGUGGCAAAAGAGUGGGAAGAGCUUUGAGUAGAGGUGAUAAACCUACCGAACCUAGUUAUAGCUGGUUGCCUAGAAAUUGAAUAAAAGUUCAGCCCCUUGGCUCUUUCACUCACCACCCCACCAUAAAACCCGGACACAAAAGAUACCAAGAGAGUUAAUCAAAGGAGGUACAGCCCCUUUGAACUAAGAUACAGCUUUUUCGGGCGGAUAAAGAUCACAAUUUAAAAGGAAUAUGUUUUAGUGGGCCUAAAAGCAGCCACCCAAACAGAAAGCGUUACAGCUCAAACAUACAUUAAUCCUAAAAUCACGAUAAAUCUAUCUUAAACCCCCACCCAUACUAGGCCUUUUCAUGCAAACAUGAAAGAGUCCAUGCUAAUAUGAGUAAUAAGAGAGAAUCAUCUCUCUCCUCGCACACACAUACAUCGGAACGGACCCCCCACCGAACAUUACCGACCCCAAACAAAGAGGGAAAUGAACAAUAAAUAAAUAACUAGAAAAACACCCAACAAGCUAAUCGUUAAUCCCACACUGGCGUGCCCCCAAGGAAAGACUUAAAAAAAAAGAAGGAACUCGGCAAACACUUCAAGCCUCGCCUGUUUACCAAAAACACCGCCUCUUGCGAAUUAUAAGUAUAAGAGGUCCCGCCUGCCCUCUGACAAUAUGUUUAACGGCCGCGGUAUUUUGACCGUGCAAAGGUAGCGCAAUCACUUGUCUUUUAAAUGAAGACCUGUAUGAAUGGCAUAACGAGGGCUUAACUGUCUCCUUUUUCAAGUCAAUGAAAUUGAUCUUCCCGUGCAGAAGCGGGAAUAUAAACAUAAGACGAGAAGACCCUGUGGAGCUUUAGAUACAAAAUAGACCUUGUUAAACACUCCAAACUAAUGGAUCACAACCAAAAGAACCCUAUUUUAAUGUCUUCGGUUGGGGCGACCACGGGGAAUAUAAAACCCCCACGUAGAACGGGAGAACACCUCCUACAACCAAGAGUUACAACUCUAAUUAAUAGAAUAUCUAACUAAAAGAUCCGGCAGAGCCGAUCAACGAACCAAGUUACCCCAGGGAUAACAGCGCAAUCCCCUUCUAGAGCCCAUAUCGACAAGGGGGUUUACGACCUCGAUGUUGGAUCAGGACAUCCAAUGGUGCAGCGAUUAAAGUCCUACGUGAUCUGAGUUCAGACCGGAGUAAUCCAGGUCAGUUUCUAUCUAUGAUAUGUUCUUUUCUAGUACGAAAGGACCGAAAAGAAAAGGCCCAUGCUUAAGGCACGCCUUACCCCAACCUAAUGAAAACAGCUAAAUUAGGCAAAAGGGCAUGUCCCUAUGCCUGAGACUACGGCAU